rnacentral:rRNA from 1 species
AGCGAACGCUGGCGGCAGGCUUAACACAUGCAAGUCGAACGAGAUCUUCGGAUCUAGUGGCAGACGGGUGAGGAACACGUGGGAACAUCCCUUUCAGUUCGGAAUAACGUUGGAAAACUAACGCUAAUACCGGAUACGUCCUUCGGGAGAAAGAUUUAUCGCUGAAAGAUUGGCCCGCGUCUGAUUAGCUAGUUGGUGAGGUAAUGGCUCACCAAGGCUACGAUCAGUAGCUGAUCUGAGAGGAUGAUCAGCCACAUUGGGACUGAGACACGGCCCAAACUCCUACGGGAGGCAGCAGUGGGGAAUAUUGGACAAUGGGCGCAAGCCUGAUCCAGCCAUGCCGCGUGAGUGAUGACGGCCUUCGGGUUGUAAAGCACUUUUGUCCGGGAAGAUAAUGACUGUACCGGAAGAAUAAGCCCCAGCAAACUUCAUGCCAGCCGCCGCGGUAA